ACCUGGGGUAGAGGUGCUGUAAUUAAUAGUAUUUAUUCUUAGCGGCCGCGCGAUGAGGAAUAAAGAAAGGAAUUAUAGCCGAAGAAGAAUAAUGUAGGAAGUUAUCUUCUGGCUUUGUAUAAAAUAUAUGCAAAGUUGUCACUAUAAUGGUGGAGAGCUACAGAGGUU
rnacentral:ncRNA from 2 species